GAUACCAGGGUCAAAAGGUCAUCCACCACCUGUGCUUGCACAGUGGUGGAUGAUGAUGAUGACCUUGAGACCCGCCAAAAUAUGAGGACGUAGUGGGGCAGGGAUCCCAUGGAGUCCGAAUAUUUUGCAGGAUUGUGGGAGCGCGAAGUGCGGAACAAUCCGCAGGUAUC
rnacentral:sRNA from 1 species